rnacentral:rRNA from 1 species
GACGAACGCUGGCGGCGUGCUUAACACAUGCAAGUCGAACGAAAAGGCCCUGCUUUUGUUGGUUGCUCGAUUGGCGAACGGGUGAGUAACACGUGAGUAACCUGCCCUUGACUUUGGGAUAACUUCAGGAAACUGGGGCUAAUACCCGAUAGGAGCUCCUGCUGCAUGGUGGUGGUUGGAAAGUUUCGGCGGUUGGGGAUGGACUCGCGGCUUAUCAGCUUGUUGGUGGGGUAGUGGCUUACCAAGGCUUUGACGGGUAGCCGGCCUGAGAGGGUGACCGGCCACAUGGGGACUGAGAUACGGACCAGACUCCUACGGGAGGCAGCAGUGGGGAAUAUUGCACAAUGGGCGGAAGCCUGAUGCAGAAACGCCGCGUGCGGGAUGACGGCCUUCGGGUUGUAAACCGCUGUCGACUGUGACGAAGAGGGAGUGACGGUAAUGGGUAAAGAAGCACCGGCUAACUACGUG